rnacentral:rRNA from 1 species
ACGUAGGCAGCGAGCGUUGUUCGGAAUUACUGGGCGUAAAGAGUGUGUAGGCGGUGCUCUAAGUUCGGUGUGAAAUCUCCCGGCUUAACUGGGAGGGUGCGCCGGAAACUGGAGUGCUCGAGCGUGGGAGAGGAAAGCGGAAUUCCUGGUGUAGCGGUGAAAUGCGUAGAUAUCAGGAGGAACACCUGCGGUGUAGACGGCUUUCUGGACCAUUGCUGACGCUGAGACACGAAAGCGUGGGUAGCAAACA